rnacentral:rRNA from 1 species
AUUGAACGCUGGCGGCAUGCCUUACACAUGCAAGUCGAACGGCAGCAUGAUCUAGCUUGCUAGAUUGAUGGCGAGUGGCGAACGGGUGAGUAAUACAUCGGAACGUGCCCUGUAGUGGGGGAUAACUAGUCGAAAGAUUAGCUAAUACCGCAUACGACCUGAGGGUGAAAGUGGGGGACCGCAAGGCCUCAUGCUAUAGGAGCGGCCGAUGUCUGAUUAGCUAGUUGGUGAGGUAAAGGCUCUCCAAGGCGACGAUCAGUAGCUGGUCUGAGAGGACGAUCGGCCACACUGGGACUGAGACACGGCCCCGACUCCUACGGGAGGCAGCAGUGGGGAAUUUUGGACAAUGGGGGCAACCCUGAUCCAGCAAUGCCGCGUGUGUGAAGAAGGCCUUCGGGUUGUAAAGCACUUUUGUCCGGAAAGAAAUCGCACUUACUAAUAUUAGGUGUGGAUGACGGUACCGGAAGAAUAAGGACCGGCUAACUACGUGCCAGCAGCCGCCGCGGUAA